rnacentral:rRNA from 1 species
CAGAGGUCCCAAGCGUUGUUCGGAUUCACUGGGCGUAAAGGGUGCGUAGGUGGUCGGGUAAGUCUGAUGUGAAAUCUCCGAGCUCAACUCGGAAACUGCAUCGGAUACUAUUCGGGCUUGAGGGUUGGAGGGGGGACUGGAAUUCUCGGUGUAGCAGUGAAAUGCGUAGAUAUCGAGAGGAACACCAGUGGCGAAGGCGAGUCCCUGGACAACUCCUGACACUGAGGCACGAAAGCUAGGGGAGCAAACAGGAUUAGAUACCCUGGUAGUCCUAGCCGUAAACGGUGCACGUUUGCUGUAAAAGGAAUCGACCCCUUUUGUGGCGAAGCUAACGCGUUAAACGUGCCGCCUGGGAAGUACGGUCGCAAGAUUA